AUUCCUUCUCGGCCUUUUGGCUAAGAUCAAGUGUAGUAUCUGUUCUUAUCAGUUUAAUACAAGGUCAGAUAGAUAUGAUAUGCCACAUACAUAGCCAAGGAGAGAACCAGAGAAGUUGUACCUUCA
ensembl:snRNA U2 U2 spliceosomal RNA